rnacentral:rRNA from 1 species
CAAUAGCGUAUAUUAAAGUUGUUGCGGUUAAAAAGCUCGUAGUUGGAUUUCUGCUGAGAACGACCGGUCCGCCCUCUGGGUGUGUAUCUGGCUCUUUCUUGGCAUCUUCUUGGUGAACGUUGCUGCACUUGACUGUGUGGAGCGCUACCCAGGACUUUUACUUUGAGGAAAUUAGAGUGUUUCAAGCAGGCAUACGCCUUGAAUACAUUAGCAUGGAAUAAUAAGAUAGGACCUCGGUUCUAUUUUGUUGGUUUCUAGAGCUGAGGUAAUGAUUAAUAGGGAUAGUUGGGGGCAUUCGUAUUUAACUGUCAGAGGUGAAAUUCUUGGAUUUGCUAAAGACGGACUACUGCGAAAGCAUUUGCCAAGGAUGUUUNCAUUG